AUCACUCUGGCUGAUCAUAUGAGAUUUUACUGUCACUUUAGCAGUCUUACUUAUGAUGAUAAAAGUUGCAUAAAUGGGGAACCUGAGUGGCUGAGUCAGUUGAGGGUAUGAUUCUUGAUUUCAGCUCAGGUCAUGAUCUCACAGUUCGUGGGAUCAAGCCCCACAUUGAACUCUGCAUUGGCAGUGUGAGGCCUGCUUGGGAUUCUGUGUCUCUUCUCUGUCUGCCUCUUCCCCACUUGCAUAUUCUCUCUGUCUCAAAAUAAAUAAAUAAAAACUUAAAAAAAGAAGUUGCAUAAGUGGAGAGGUCAUAAGUUAGGUCAGCAUUAUUGAGUGAAAACACAUACAAAGCAUUGCAUGGUGAAAUGUUCUAGUCUCUGGGACACAAAAUAUUCCUACCCACCAACAGCCAUCCUGAUUCAGGAACUAUAUUAAGGCCUUUAAGAAGAAUGGUGUAAAUUCCAUUUUUAUUGCAGCCUCACACAUUGUGCCUGUGUGCACUCACUGACAUGCACGGUCUGCCUCUUUGCAGAUUGACCCUGGAUAUAGGAAGCCGAGGUCCCAUAUGCCCAGUGGCAUAAUGUGUCAAGGCUGAGUCUCCAUAGUCCAUAUAUUGUUGGUAAAUGACUCAACAAAAUGAUUCAACCCCUAUAUUGCAUCCUCUUCUCAGUGCUGGGAAUAUAAGAAUAAGUAAUGAAUGCCUUCUUCCUCACUGAGCUCAUGACCUGGGGAAGAUGUCAGCGUUGUAUGUUGGGAUUUUUGCUGUUUUUUACUAGACAAUAAAAAGAAAUGUAAUUAGGGGUGCCUGGGUGGCUCAGUCGGUCAAGCGUCUGACUUCAGCUCAGGUCAUGAUCUCACACUCCGUGAGUUCGAGCCCCACAUCAGGCUCUGUGCUGACAGCUCGGAGCCUGGAGCCUGCUUCAGAUUCUGUGUCUCCCUCUCUCUCUGCCCCUCCCCUGCUCAUGCUCUGUCUCUCUCUGUCUCUCAAAAAUGAAUAAAUGUUUAAAAAAAUGAAAAAAAAGAAAUAUAAUUAAUUCUGUUCCAUUCAGUUUUCUUCUGUCAGACUAUUUUCUCUUGGCUUUUUUUUUAUUUUUAAAAAUCUUUUAAAAAUAUUUUUUAAUAAGGUACUUCAUUUAAGAGAGUAUACAAAUAGAAUUUUCCUGCAGAAUCUCAGGAAAUAUCUUCUGCUGUCUUCUCAUAAAUGUGCUUAGUCUAUCUAAAUGGUUAAGUAUUUAAAUAUGUAAGUGGUAAGGUUGAAUUCUUAACAUUUAUGUGGCCCCUUCUGUCCAAUGGGGAGACUGCAGACUAAACUUGAUAUUCUUCAUUAUGCUUCCGUGAAAUCAAAUCUAUGUUUUGUCUUCAAAUAAUUUAAAAAAUUUUAAGUUUAUUUAUUUAUUUUCAGAGAGGGGCAGAAAGAGAGGGAGAGAGGGAAUCCCAAGCAGACUCUGUGCUGUCAGUGCAGAGCCUGACACAGGGCUCGAUCCCAAGAAACCUGAGCCGAAACCAAGAGUCGGAAGCUUAACUGACUGAGCCACCCAGGCACUCCUCUCACAUAACUUACUUAGUUUUUAUAGAGAACACUGAGAAGUCAGUUUGUUUCCUAAAUAUAAAUGUGAGAAAAAAUUAAGAUUAUUUGGUAAAAUAUGGGGAAACUGUUGUCAAGUAAUUAAUCUUGCUAUGAGUUGAUUUCUUAGCCAUGUUACUCUGUUUGGUUCUGCCUAGGGUAACACAAUAUUUUUGCCACCUGGUAACCAUUUAGUGGCUUGCUGUCUGUCAAAUUGGAAUCAUUAAUCUAAGAUCCACAAAAUACACUGACCUCAUCAAGAACCAUCAGCCACAUUAAUCACAUGGCUAAAUAAUGUCUAACUUGCCAAAAGAGAGAGAACAGAAGAAACCGGAGGUCAAGAAAAUCCCCAAAAGGAAAAUACAGAUUCAAAAGUGUGAUUGUCCAGCAAACUAUACAUCUAGGCUGGACAGUAUAGCUACUAGUGGUCAGAGAGUUCAAGAAAAUGUUGCCAGUCGUGGCGUGGAGCCAAGCAGCAUCUUGAGACAAGAGAGCUAUUUCUUGGAGCAUUGAAACCACAGUCCGUACAAGUAUCUGCAGACGGCAUCAGCAGAGGAAUCUAGGAGACAGACAUAUCCUAGAGUGAGUAAGGAGUGGUGAAACUGUCCUGUUGGCCCAGAUAACUACUCUGCACCAAGUGCAAAGUGUAAUGUAUAAAUGACAAGUUUGGUUUUCGUGAGUGAUCACGAAGGUUCUCCCAUACAGCAGUGCACAGCAACGUGUGAACAUGACAGUGAAGAGGAAUGGAGAUAGAUGAACAUAAGAGGACAGAGGUAAUAACAGUUGAGUCUGGAGGCCUUGUACAUUAGAAGCUGGAUUUAUAUGACUGCAGAGGAAUUUUGUAGCUCGUUACAUUUAGAGCUUCUACCUUUAUCAGAAGACCUCCUUGAUAAAAGUAAGAAAGAUAAAAACAGAACUAGCACUGGCCCUAAGACUUUGAAGAGAGACCGUUGAUGAAAAGAGACUCCCACCUGGGUUUUGGCUAUUUUUAUAUUAUGCUACUCUAGAUCUUAUUUAAACCAGUUUUAGCUGACUUUGUCUGAUGAUGCUCUGGCAUAAGAAGGGAGGAGAGGACACUGCUUCAUUACUGCCAGGUGGAGGUCGAAGUUCAAGUUCUCCAUUUUGCCUGCACCGACACCUGAGGGCCAAGCCAGCAAGCACUACCUCCAUGCUUAUCCCCAGGAUGUGACCAAGGAAAGUGGUAUCUCCUGGCAGUGGAUUAACUGGGAAAUGCACAUUGGGAGGUGCACAGCAGACAUACCUGGGGGCCUAGGAACUAUAUGCCCACCAACCCAAUAUUCUGAUAUAACACACCCUCAAGAAAUAAAAAUUUUGCCCUGGUUGGAUAUCACUGUGAUGGGAAACAGGGAAGAAUGGGUAGUAUCAGAUGAUGGGCAAAAGGAGCUGCAUUUUUUUUUUUAACUAGUGGAAGGAUGAUAAUAUAACAGGGCCCUUGAAGGAGAUCAUGUAGUAAUAAAACACAGUCCAUGUGAUUUGGAGUCAGUCAUAUUUCUACCCCAUAGAAGUACACUGUCCAGAAUAGUAAAUACAAAUGGUUAUUUAAAUUUAAACUAAUUAAAUUUAAAUUAAAAAUUAAAACUUAUUUCUUUAGUUGCACUUUUCAUACUUCAGAUGCUCUCAAGUCACCCGUGGAUAGGCCACUGUACUGGAUGCUGAGAGUUGGAACACUCCACUCCUGUAGAAAGUUCUGUUGAAGAUUACUGCUAUAGAGUAUUGUUACUUCUUGCUCUCUUGUUACCUUUAGGCCUUUAACUUUUUGGAUAUACUAUUUAUUUUACUGCUUCCCUGUUUUAUCCUGAAGAUCUGCCCUAUUCCCCCUUCCUGCCUGCCUCUGAUUUUGCCACCAACCUUAGUUUUGAAGAAACUAAGGGUUGUUGUCAACACUUGCCAAAGAUCUGACCUCUGACUUCUCCAUUGGGUUUUGACCUUUGGCUUUAUUACUUAGUACAUAAUGGCCUCAACCUGCUCACACCUGAGUUAGGAUACUUGGCUCCUGAUUUGGCCUUAGCAACUGGUUUGUCUUCUCCUCCCAACUCUCUGGGUCAGUUUACUUUAAAAUUUUAGUUCAUGGCUUUCUUGUACUGGAUUCAUAUAAUCUGUCCUUAAUUUACCAGUCUUUGUAGUUUUGCUUGUACCUCUCAAUAUGUGAGAUUGUAGACAGCAGUGUUUUAUUAUUGUACUAUAACUGAGCUUCAUUUUUAGCCAUUAUUGUGGGAAAAGUUUUCAAAAUGUGUUUAAUACUAA